AGCGGGGUGGAGGAGUAGUACCUCGUCAGGCUCAUAACCUGGAGACAUCAGUGCAAAUCUGGUCCCCGCAA
rnacentral:tRNA from 1 species